rnacentral:precursor_RNA from 15 species
CCAGCUUUAUUUUUUAAAAAGGUCACAAUCAACAUUCAUUGCUGUCGGUGGGUUUAACUGUAUGGACAAGCUCACUGAACAAUGAAUGCAACUGUGGCCCCACUUUAUUGCAGUCACAGGC